GACGGGGGGUGCUAGCGUUGCUCGGAAUUACUGGGCGUAAAGCGUGUGUAGGCGGCUUGGUAAGCCAGAUGUGAAAUCCUACGGCUUAACCGUAGAAGUGCAUCUGGAACUGCCUGGCUAGAGUAUGGUAGAGGGCGGGGGAAUUCCCGGUGGAGCGGUGAAAUGCGUAGAUAUCGGGAGGAAUACCGGUGGCGAAGGCGCCCGCCUGGGCCAUUACUGACGCUCAGACACGAAAGCGUGGGGAGCAAACAGGAUUAGAUACCCUAGUAGUCC
rnacentral:rRNA from 1 species